rnacentral:lncRNA from 1 species
GCCCCUUCACUGCAAUUGCACGUGGUGGAAAUUUUACUGCGAAGACUUUCUCAAACCUUGAAGAUCACACUCGGCCUGACAACAAAGAAACAAAGUCAAUAUACGAAGAUGAUUUUACUAACAAGUGAGAGCUUACAAAUAUUUGAAGGAUAACGAUCACUCAUAACCCAUAUCCCCAGUAUUCCCUAAUAUUUCACUCAAGUGAGUUCAAGCUCCCAAAAUUCACUACAGUGAAAUGUCAAAACAAAACUCUCUUCUCAAAUUUGAUGAUGAUAUCUCUCGAAGGGAGGCAAAAGAAUCUAACACUGCUCAAAUUGGCUUGUGAACAAUUAAUCUUCCUCGCCAUCAUUCAUACCAGGUGCGGUGAACAAUCUUCAUUCUGACAUUUGCCUUAAUAAGCUGCUUAGUAACCUUAACCUGAUAACUCACACAAACAAAAACAACUUGCCUAAAGUUUAAUAUUUCGAGCAGAACAGUAAAGAAGAUGAUAUCUAUUGAUGCUAAAAUUUGACCUGUGUUACCCUGAUGUCAAAAAUCAUAGCAUCUCAUGUGGGCAAAAUCUUCGCAACACGAGAUGCUUGCAAAAUUGGAGCAGCAUCUUAUCACCUGUAAUUUAAUUGAGACAAUAACUUUCCCCAACCAUUUCAAUGCAUUAUUGCCAACUAAAUUCAGAGGGUGCUAAUUAAAUAGCCUUUGAACAAUAUAUUCUUAUUCUUCUCCAAUGUAACAAUUAUUUGGAAAAUCUAAAUGACAAUCAUGCAUCGAUGGCAUGAAAAUUUGGCUACAAAGUAGCCUGGAAAAGGCUGCUCUCUGAAUGAGAGCAUGAAUUCGAACAAAUAUGAUGAAUGAAUAAAUAAAGGCAUAAUACCACAAGAAGUAAAACUUUUCCCCAGAUUUCUGUUUCUGUUUGUGCUAAAACCAAUGGAAACCGAUGGAAAUGAAUUUCUACGAAUUAGACAUAUCAGCCAAAACAGGUACUCUGUACAAGCAAAGUAAAAGAGGGUUACAAAAAAAUUUAAUAUUGAUAUGAUAAUUAAAAUUAUAAUGAAAAUUUCAGUUACCAUAUAAUUAAUAGAUAACUCUGUACACAAUGAUUUAUUGCAUAUUAAGAUUGUAUACCUGAAUUUUAAUUGCUAUACAAAAUAUGGUAGUAGCAUUAGGAGACCGCACCAAACGCACCGAAUUGAAUGUGCCUUUUCACAGCCAUUGUACAAGCUUUGAAGCUUUACCACAAAUGCUUUCUCAAACCCGUGAUCAUGAUGCACCCGAGAGAUGCAAGAGAUGAAAUUGUUA